rnacentral:rRNA from 1 species
CCUACGGGUGGCAGCAGUGAGGAAUAUUGGUCAAUGGGCGGGAGUCUGAACCAGCCAAGUAGCGUGAAGGAUGACUGCCCUAUGGGUUGUAAACUUCUUUUGUACAGGAAUAACACGCGGCACGUGUGCCUUUUUGCAUGUACUUUGUGAAUAAGGAUCGGCUAACUCCGUGCCAGCAGCCGCGGUAAUACGGAGGGUCCGAGCGUUAUCCGGAUUUAUUGGGUUUAAAGGGAGCGUAGAUGGGUGGUUAAGUCAGGUGUGAAAGUGUGCGGCUCAACCGUAAAAUUGCAAUUGCUACUGGCAGUCAUGAGUACAGAUGAGGCAGGCGGAAUUCGUGGUGUAGCGGUGAAAUGCUUAGAUAUCACGAAGAACCCCGAUUGCGAAGGCAGCCUACCAAACUGUGACUGACAUUGAUGCUCGAAAGUGUGGGUAUCAAACAGGAUUAGAUACCCCUGUAGUC